rnacentral:rRNA from 1 species
UACGUAGGCAGCAAACGUUGUUCGGAAUUACUGGGCGUAAAGAGUGUGUAGGCGGUCCUGUAAGUUUGGUGUGAAAUCUCCCGGCUUAACUGGAGGUGGCGCCGAAAACUGCAAGCUUGAGUACUGGAGAGGAUAGGCGGAAUUCCUGGAUGUAGCGUGGAAAUGCGUAGAGUAUCAGGAGGAACACCGCGGUGUAGACGCUGUCGUGACAGUGAACUGACGCUGGAGACACGAAAGCGUGGGAGCAACAGG